rnacentral:rRNA from 1 species
GCACGCUGGCGGCAGCCUAACACAUGCAAGUCGAGCGCGCCUUCGGGUGAGCGGCGGACGGGUUAGUAACGCGUGGGAACGUGCCCUUCUCUACGGAAUAGCCUCUGGGAAACGGCAUAGUAAUACCGGUAUACGCCCUCUUGGUGGGCAAAAAUUUCAUCGGAGAAGAGAUCGUGCCACGCGUUACGAUUACAGUAGGUUAUGUAGGUGGUAACUGGCCAUACCAAGACCUACGAGUCUAUAGACUGGCUUUUCAGAGGGCAUAGAUACAGCAAUACACUGGGUACUAGAAGACACGAGCUCCAG